CCCUACGGGGGGCAGCAGUGGGGGAUAUUGCACAAUGGGGGGAACCCUGAUGCAGCGACGCCGCGUGGGUGAAGGAGUGCUUCGGCAUGUAAAGCUCUAUCAGCAGGGAAGAAAAUGACGGUACCUGACUAAGAAGCCCCGGCUAACUACGUGCCAGCAGCCGCGGUAAUACGUAGGGGGCAAGCGUUAUCCGGAUUUACUGGGUGUAAAGGGAGCGUAGACGGCUGUGCAAGCCAGAUGUGAAAGCCCGGGGCUCAACCCCGGGACUGCAUUUGGAACUGCGGGGCUUGAGUGUCGGAGAGGCA
rnacentral:rRNA from 1 species